UACGUAGGGUGCAAGCGUUGUCCGGAAUCAUUGGGCGUAAAGCGCGCGUAGGUGGCCAUUUAAGUCCGCUGUGAAAGUCAAAGGCUCAACCUUUGAAAGCCGGUGGAUACUGGAUGGCUAGAGUACGGAAGAGGCGAGUGGAGUUCCUGGUGUAGCGGUGGAAUGCGCAGAUAUCAGGAGGAACACCAAUAGCGAAGGCAGCUCGCUGGGACGUUACUGACACUGAGGCGCGAAAGCGUGGGGAGCGAACAGG
rnacentral:rRNA from 1 species